rnacentral:rRNA from 1 species
GUGCAGCAGCCGCGGUCAUACGUAGGGUGCGAGCGUUAAUCGGAAUUACUGGGCGUCAAGCGUGCGCAGGCGGUUAUAUAAGACCGAUGUGAAAUCCCCGGGCUCAACCUGGGACCUGCAUUUGUGACUGUAUAGCUAGAGUACGGUAGAGGGGGAUGGAAUUCCGCGUGUAGCAGUGAAAUGCGUAGAUACGCGGAGGAACACCGAUGGCGAAGGCAAUCCCCUGGACCUGUACUGACGCUCAUGCACGAAAGCGUGGGGAGCAAACAGGAUUAGAUACCCUGGUAGUCCACGCCCUAAACGAUGUCAACUGGUUGUUGGGUCUUCACUGACUCAGUAACGAAGCUAACGCGUGAAGUUGACCGCCUGGGGAGUACGGCCGCAAGGUUGAAACUCAAAGAAAUUGGCGG